GCCUGAUGACCUAUCACUGUCUCCCAUCACUCCCAGAUGGGACCGUCUAGUUGCAGGAAAACAAGCUCAGGGCUCCCACUGAUUCUACAUUAUGAUCAACUGCAUGGGGUCCUACAGGAGAAGACCAAGAGACAGAGACAGAGACCAGGGAAAAUGACCGAUACCAUUCCUUCUCAGGGAUGCUACACACCCAUGGGGCAGAGGAUAAGAGGUUCCUGAAGGCAUCACCCCUCUGGCCAUGGCUGGUGUGCAGACAAAGCUGGAGAUUUGGAGUAGCCUGUUGUCCCACUGACUCUUAGACUGCCCCAGCUAAGAAGAACCAACUCCUCCUAUUACAGAUGAAAUAAACAAAGCUACUCAAGCUCUCUGGCAUCGCCCUGACGGUCAUCAUGUGCUUCACAUUUCCCUCCUGCCCCCCCUGAUUUUCUGGAAAAGGGAGAAAGUGUGUGAAAAAAAAUGGACAAUAACUUCUGUUAACUUUGUAGAUGUCUGGUUCCUCCAUAUGAGGCUGUGCUUGAAUCAAUUUUGGAGAGAGGGUUUCUAAAGUCUCUCUAGAUUCUAUUAAUUUUGAUAGAGACAAUAAAAGGCAGCAGGACCAACUCUGUGUGGUGGGAGAUCUAGCAACCAUUAUAGUCACAAUAGCCACCACUUACUGAACACCCACCAUGUGACAAAGAACAAAUGUGCAUGAAUUAUGUCACAUUUUUCACAAGCACCCCUUGAGUUGGGAGUUCACUCAUGAGGCAACUGAGGUUCAGGGAGAUGAAGUAACUCACCCUGUAGGUAGGAGGGCUGAGAUCUGGACGUAGAUCUUUCCUCCAAAGCUUUGUCUUUUUUUUUCUACUAUAGCACACCAAAGAGAGUUCUAGAAAAAAUGAGAAUAAGAAAUUUACCUGUAAUCCUUGCUCAAGAAACUGAAGCUCUGAGGCCACAUUGUUCCAGCCUUUUGCAGCUCCUGCAUGUGGAUACCAGCACCAGCAGCUCCCCGACCAGGGGCCCCAGCUAAGCCCUCCCAGAGGAUGAUCUUGGCUUUGUACAUGGGGUGUCAAUAUCCUGUGAGUCCAACAGAGGGAAGACAUAAGAAUAUGGUCACCCAGAACCACCUUAAAAGUAGACCUUUCAGAGCUACCCGAGAAUCCUGGUCCCUGCAGCUGAUCUUCCCACCUCCACCCAGCUCUCGUCCUCCUCUUCCUCCCCAUCCACCAUCCUGACCAGGUGAGCUGGCUUCCCCUGCUCAACAGCUCUACGAGUUUGCACUUCUGGAUUUGGUCAGGUCAAGACCAGCUCCCCCAAAUAUACCUCUGUCCUAGACAGCCUUGUUCUAAACAGAAACUGAUGAUAACAUGGAGGAAGAGGCUUGAACGGAAAGGUGGAGGAGGGAAGGAAGGAACAGGGAGAAGUCAUCUCUAGGUUGGCAGUCCCUGUCAGCCUCUUAGGACUUCUCACCUCUGCAGCAGUGAUGGUAGAGUCGUGUCUUACUCC
rnacentral:lncRNA from 1 species